rnacentral:rRNA from 1 species
AGUGAACGUUGGCGGCGUGGAUUAGGCAUGCAAGUCGAGCGAGAACCGUAGCAAUACGGGGACAGCGGCGAAAGGGACAGUAAUGUGUAGGUACCUACCCCGGGGUCUGGGAUAGCUGCGGGAAACUGCAGGUAAUACCGGAUAAUGUCUUCGGACCAAAGGUGUGAUUCCACCUUGGGAGGGGCCUGCAUCCUAUUAGCUUGUUGGCGGGGUAACGGCCCACCAAGGCAACGAUGGGUAGCGGGUGUGAGAGCACGACCCGCGUCAUUGGGACGAAGAUACUGCCCAGACACCUACGGGUGGCUGCAGUCGAGGAUCUUCGGCAAUGGGCGAAAGCCUGACCGAGCGACGCCGCGUGCGGGAUGAAGGCCUUCGGGUUGUAGACCGCUGUCGUAGAGGAGGAAAUGCAGGGGGGUUCUCCCUUCUGUUUGACCUAUUCUAGGAGGAAGGACGGGCUAAGUUCGUGCCAGCAGCCGCCGUAA